GACGAACGCUGGCGGCGUGCCUAAUACAUGCAAGUAGAACGCAGUUGCGAACGGGUGAGUAACGCGUAGGUAAAUGCCUCAUAGCGGGGGAUAACUAUUGGAAACGAUAGCUAAUACCGCAUACUGUGAGAUGGACGGGUGUUGUAUUAGCUAGUUGGUGAGGUAAAGGCCCACCAAGGAGACGAUACGUAGCCGACCUGAGAGGGUGAUCCGCCACCCUGGGACUUGGACACCGCCCCGACUCCUACGGGAGGCAGCCGUAGGGAAUCUUCGGCAAUGGACGGAAGUCCUACCGAGCAACGCCGCGUUAGUGAAGAAGGUUUUCGGAUCGUAAAGCUCCGUUGUUAGAGAAGCGUUACCUACCCAGAAAGGGACGGCUAACUACGUGCCAGCAGCCGCGGUAAUUC
rnacentral:rRNA from 1 species